rnacentral:rRNA from 1 species
AGUGAACGCUGGCGGUAGGCCUAACACAUGCAAGUCGAACGGCAGCACAGUAAGAGCUUGCUCUUACGGGUGGCGAGUGGCGGACGGGUGAGGAAUACAUCGGAAUCUACUUUUUCGUGGGGGAUAACGUAGGGAAACUUACGCUAAUACCGCAUACGACCUACGGGUGAAAGCAGGGGAUCUUCGGACCUUGCGCGAUUGAAUGAGCCGAUGUCGGAUUAGCUAGUUGGCGGGGUAAAGGCCCACCAAGGCGACGAUCCGUAGCUGGUCUGAGAGGAUGAUCAGCCACACUGGAACUGAGACACGGGCCAGACGCCUACGGGAGGCAGCAGUGGGGAAUAUUGGACAAUGGGCGCAAGCCUGAUCCAGCCAUACCGCGUGGGUGAAGAAGGCCUGCGGGUUGUAAAGCCCUUUUGUUGGGAAAGAAGAGCAGCAGGUUAAUACCCCGCUGUUCUGACGGUACCCAAAGAAUAAGCACCGGCUAACUUCGU